GCAAUUCCACUUGAGGUUCCUUUAUUGUUGUUGACAAUUUCUAUCAAUGUCACCACAGGGGAGAUGAAAUCCUCUCUACAUAGAUAAGUUAUUUUUCAAUGAACCAUUUCAACUGUAUGAUGUUUUCACCACGGUGCAUUCUUUAAUUUCACCGUAUGAUGUUCUCGCCGGGUUGAAUGGCUUGAGCCAAAUCUGCAACCAUUACAAUGGCAGAAUGAAAAAAUCAUAUUGGCACUUACUACCGUGGAAAUCAUUUCAAUACGUUUAAUCACUUCUAGGACAAUAUAAAUCAUUCCAAAGUACUGAAUCCAAACGAGCUCCCUAUUAUCUCAACUACCUGCAGUACAUUCUUUAGUUGUUUGUUUCUAUUUCUCGAGUGGACUAUUUAUUAGAUACUAUCACCUCUAUAUCUGGAUUGCCAAUCUCCUCAAAUCUAACACCUUCAGAUCCAGUUAAAAUAGGAAACAAACUGCAAUAUAUAUGUAUCAUACUACUAGAAAUAUUAAAGAAAAUACAACCAGCAUUGAUAGUCUUGUUUUUAACCAGAUUGCGCAUCGUUUUGUUUUGUUUCCCUGUCGAGAUGAUCUUAUCGUCACUAGUAUCUAUGGAAUCGUUCACAUUAAUAGAGACCAUGUUCACAGACACAUCAUCAAUUUCAUCUCCUAUACUUUCAUCAGCUACAAUCUUACAGAUGCAACUGUCACACCGUCACUGCUUAUGUUUUGGAAUGUCUAGUGGAGGAAGUUGCUCCUCGGGGUUACUACAAAUUGAUCCAUCAAAAGGUGAACAAAUAUUCAUGCCCUUCUUUCUCAUCUCAGCAACAUAUCUGACGAAAGAAAAUGACCAACAAAUACAUUGGAUUAUUUCCUUGUAUGAUCUAAUGGAGGAGUUAAUUUUUCAAGCGAUCACUCAACUACUAGUUAUUAUUUAGAAUUAUCCAGAUGGGGUCUGUAUGCGCAUAAAUGUCGGGGGAUGACAACAUUAGAAGAAAUUGCUUCACACUUGCGAGGUAAAGUUACCUCCUUCACCAAGUUGUUGUAUAGCUACCACGAAUUUGGCAUGAAGAUCCCACGAAUUUGGCAUGAAGAUCCUCCAUCCAUUGUACACGCCCUUCCCCUAACAGUCUUGCACUUCUUAAAUUUUUCCCUCAUUAAUCUCAUUUAUCCCAAGACAAGCCGGGUUUCAAGGAAGUGUUCAUCAUCCAGUUCCUACGGUACGAGUGAUGUACUAGAAUCAGUUACAGGAGUACACCCAAAAACUUGUGAAACAGCUUCCAAGCUAUCAAACAGACAAUGAAGGUUCUCCACAUAUGCCUAAGUUUAGAACAGCAAUAUUAGUUGAUGUAGUCAGAUACAAUAUGGAUUUGGUCCAAGUAAAACGAAGACUGGAACAAAGUGAUCAGUUUGUGAAUGCAAAUUUUAUGGUAGACAUGCAUGAGAGAGGGGAAUUGCAACUUCAAGUCCUUUAGCUGGCCCAAUUUAUUGACAUGUUCCAAUCAUACCAAGUACUAGUUCUGGUUCUUUUGUUAACUUGAGUGCUGCUAAUGCUGGGACAAUGGAGAGACCUACUUUUAAUGCAAGACAUGUUGAAGAUGGAUGACAUCAAAGAGCUGCAGAUGUUGCAGCAGUUCCUCAAGAUUUCACUAACUAUAACCACACCGUUUUACAAGAACUGAUAUUUCAAGACACAGCUUGUGCAUACGAUGGCAAAGGAGGAUCCACGGGAGAUCAGUGCCUCAGUUCCGCAUUUCCACCUAGAAUUUUUGUCCAGAUGGGAUCUGUGUGCCCAGAAAUGGCGGGGAUUGACAACAUCAGAAGAUAUUGCAGCAAAUUUAGCUCAGAUAUUCACAAGAAAACAAAGUUUGAUUCUGAAAUAAAUGUUACUUCAUCUGGCAUUCUAUCCUAUACUAGAGCGGCAAUACACGACUCAACAAAGUCCCACUCAAGCAGCGUGAACAUAAACAACAAUGAACAUACUAAGGUUCAGUUUGAAAAUCAAAAGGAUCAUACAUUAUUUCAAUGAACUAAUUAUUCUUUUGCAUAAACUUGCUGAAUUCA